rnacentral:rRNA from 1 species
UACGUAGGGGGCCAGCGUUGUCCGGACUUACUGGGCGUAAAGCGCGCGCAGGUGGAUGAGUAUGUGCCGUGUGAAAGCGCCGUCCUUACGAUGGCGAGGUCGUGGUAGACAGCUUAUCUAGAGGCUCAGAGAGGUCGAUGGAAUUCCGGGUGGAGCGGUGAAAUGCGUAGAGAUCCGGAGGAACACCAGGGGCGAAAGCGGUCGACUGGCUGAGUGCUGACACUGAGGCGCGACGGCGUGGGGAGCAAACCGG